rnacentral:rRNA from 1 species
AGAGUUUGAUCCUGGCUCAGAGCGAACGCUGGCGGCAUGCUUAACACAUGCAAGUCGCACGGUCAGCAAUGGCAGUGGCGGACGGGUGAGUAACGCGUAGGAAUCUAUCUCUGGGUGGGGGACAACUGUGGGAAACUACGGCUAAUACCGCAUGAUACCUGAGGGUCAAAGGCGCAAGUCGCCUGGAGAGGAGCCUGCGUCUGAUUAGCUAGUUGGUGGGGUAAAGGCCUACCAAGGCGACGAUCAGUAGCUGGUCUGAGAGGAUGAUCAGCCACAUUGGGACUGAGACACGGCCCAAACUCCUACGGGAGGCAGCAGUGGGGAAUAUUGGACAAUGGGCGAAAGCCUGAUCCAGCAAUGCCGCGUGUGUGAAGAAGGUCUUCGGAUUGUAAAGCACUUUCGACGGGGACGAUGAUGACGGUACCCGUAGAAGAAGCC